GAAACCGGUAGGGAAAGUGAAUGUUUGGAGGUGAAAGGCGGCUAUGGCAAACGCUGGUUGGGUUGAACCUGUCCUUCUCAGUUACCGCCAUCCAGCUGCAUUUACCUUUUGCUACCGUUAACUUAACCACCAUCUCGGAAAAGACUCCUUACCGAAACUGGGAAUAUCGGAGUGGUGUUCGGCGUGGUCAUACCAACUUUACUGUCCAUGUUCAACGUCGUUGGAAUUGGAUAUAUAGUGGGUCAAGCAAGGCUGUACCAGUCCAUUGCCAUGUUCCUGGUGGCCUACUUUAUCAUCACAAUGACUGUGUGUGCCAUCUCCACCAAUGGGGCGUUAGAUCCUGGAGGUGCCUACUAGGUUACAGUUUCUUGGGAGAUAUCAAUGGCCACCCCUGGUGACAAUUGGGAUUUAGUCAUUCACCAUUACUGACCUGACAAGAGCCUCCAGGAUCCUGUAUGCUCUGUCCAAAGACGACCUGUUUGGUUAUGAUCAGGGCUAAACGGUUGAUCCAGAGUAUAUGAAAGCAUCCAACUCCAGCUGGUCGUCUUCCAUAAAGCUGAGUGAACAUUUUAAUAAUCAGCCAUCUGUUGGAAGAGGCCUCCAUCUCAAAUGUGGUGUCCUGACUCUGGUGAGGAAUACAUCUGGGGGUGGGAACCCUUGGGUGUCAGUGCUUAUCUCCUGGUUGCUUGUACAGGGAUAUUUUUUUUACCAUUGUGCGUCGACAGGUACCAAUAACCCCUUUAUUGAUGGCUAAAGAAGAAUGAUGAGCGGUAAUGGACAGUAAAACAACAUUAAAUUGAUGGUAAACAACAGAAGAACAUUAUAGCCAUUUACACCCUAAUUGUUUGUCUUUAUUUGUCGUGUCCAUUUUGCUUCCUGCUACUAAUGUGUAAACUUAACAGGAGGCGUCCGUUUCAGUAAUCAGGCAUAUGAAGUGGACAAAGUUGGAACAAUCUUGCCCUAAUCAUAUCAUCCACAGUGCUCAUUUGUUUUUUUGUAAAUGUGUUGUUGGUGGGGGAAAAAUAUAGUACUGCCCUGAGGUGAAACUAACAGUAAGGGUAGAGCUUGAAUGGAGGUGAAUAAAUGAGCAGCUGACCAUCUAAAUGGAUAACUGUCAGAUUUGAAUCUACUGAUCCUUCACCUACUGCUCUGCAGUGCAAAACAGUGUGUGCAUCAUCGUGUGCUCUGCUUUAAUGAUGUUACAUUCGUGAACGAUCUGAUUCUUUUCAACGAUUCUUUGUUACGAACGAAGGGAAACGAGUCAGACUUGGUGAGAGCUGUUCUUUUUAUCAUUGUGCCCAAAUUUCAUUGCCUGCCCUGACUCUUAUUUACAUUAACAGUGUACUAGUAACGUUAACACUGUCUGUGACUCGCAGCACGAUAGUGGCUCCACUUGAUUACUAUCCCUCUGUAUGCGUACGUCUCAUCAGCUGGACUGAGUUGAAACAUUUUCGAAUAGUCUGUAAUAGUAAUGUAAUAUUGUGUGUGUGUGUAUAAUAGUUUUUCAUGAAUUGCAUUCAAUUCAAGGCAGAAUUUAUUUAUUAUUUACACACAUUUCAUACUGAGGACAUAUUUAAAGUAGUAAAUUCACUGACAAGGCAAAGGGAUAUGGCAUCACCUUGUGUAAUUUUUACACUGCAGCUCACUGACAUUAGGUCUGGCAAUAUGGAUAAUUUAGGGCUGCUAAACUAGUCCACAAAUGCCAACUUAAAUUAUAUUGGUGGGUUGUGUAAGUUUGAAUCAGAUCCAAAUCUUAUCAUUAUACUAGUUACUAUUUUGCAGAUAAACCUAGUAACCCUUGCCUCACAAAAAAGAAAAAGGAUAAAAGAAUGAUGAACGGCUCUUAAAAAAGGGACGGAGCCACAAUUCCCAUCACCGCUCUGCUUUGGACUGGCUAAAUAUUUGUCAAAUGAAGAGCACUCUACUGUCCUGUUAAGUGAAUGCUUAAUUUCACUACCAUGCUACUUAACAUCAGCAUAUUAACUUGAUAACAAGGUUUGUUAAAUUUUGUAUUUCUUUUAUUUUUAAUUCGUUGACGUAUAUAGUAUAGCUGUAAUUUGAACCAGUUAAAGUGUUUAUCAGGGUGGUUCAUAAUGGGGUCCAGGGACAUCCAGGGUCCUGAAGCUGCUAAUGUAGUCUAGGGAGCUAUAUUGUUUGUAUACAUUGUUUUCUGUAACACUAAAUGAAUGUGUGUGCCAAAGCCUGCUCACUGUUAUUGCUAGAAUGAUUACAUAUUUGAAUUAUCAAUUCAAACAUGGAGCAGCACAAAAAUACAAAAAACUAAAUUAAUAACAACAAACAAUUACUAGGUGGUAAUUUUGGCAAAUCUCCUACAGCCUAGUGUUUAGAACCUCUGGUCUAUUAUACAGCCAUUCUUCUAAGAGUGGUGUUUUGAUUGUAGUGUAAACCAAACCAGUGUUCUCCAUUCCUUCCACUAUGGGGUGCUUUCUGACAGUAAAUUAAACACCAUAGCUGUUGUGAUAAUUUUCUUGCUGUUGUUAAAUGCUGUUGUGAACCUGGCCUGUUUGGCUCUCAAAUGGGCUUCUGCACCAAACGUCAGGUACAGUGCAGGAUAUUGCUGUAAAUAAAGU